rnacentral:rRNA from 1 species
GAACUGUGUUAGCUUAGACUUGCAAGUCGAACGAUGAAGCCCGUGCUUGCACGGGUGGAUUAGUGGCGAACGGGUGAGUAUCACGUGAGUAACCUGCCCUUGACUCUGGGAUAAGCCUGGGAAACUGGGUCUAAUACCGGAUAUGACCAGUCCUCGCAUGAGGUGCUGGUGGAAAGAUUUUAUCGGUCUUGGAUGGACUCGCGGCCUAUCAGCUAGACGGUGAGGUAAUGGCUCACCGUGGCGAUGACGGGUAGCCGGCCUGAGAGGGUGACCGGCCACACUGGGACUGAGACACGGCCCAGACUCCUACGGGAGGCAGCAGUGGGGAAUAUUGCACAAUGGGCGCAAGCCUGAUGCAGCGACGCCGCGUGCGGGAUGACGGCCUUCGGGUUGUAAACCGCUUUCAGCAGGGAAGAAGCUUUUGUGACGGUACCUGCAGAAGAAGCGCCGGCUAACUACGUGCCAGCAGCCGCGGUAAUACGUAGGGCGCGAGCGUUAUCCGGAAUUAUUGGGCGUAAAGAGCUCGUAGGCGGCUUGUCGCGUCUGCUGUGAAAGCCCGGGGCUUAACCCCGGGUGUGCAGUGGGUACGGGCAGGCUAGAGUGCAGUAGGGGAGACUGGAAUUCCUGGUGUAGCGGUGAAAUGCGCAGAUAUCAUGAGGAACACCGAUGGCGAAGGCGGGUCUCUGCGGCUGUUGCUGACGCUGAGGAGCGAAAGCAUGGGGAGCGAACAGGAUUAGAUACCCCUGCUAGUCCACGCCCGUCACACGUUCGGGCACUAGGAGUGCGGGGAGGUGCCACCCUUUCUCCUCUGCGUCUGGCUCAGCACAAUUAAGUGAC